AAAUUGAAGAGUUUGAUCAUGGCUCAGAUUGAACGCUGGCGGCAGGCCUAACACAUGCAAGUCGAACGGUAACAGGAAGCAGCUUGCUGCUUUGCUGAUGAGUGGCGGACGGGUGAGUAAUGUCUGGGAAACUGCCUGAUGGAGGGGGAUAACUACUGGAAACGGUGGCUAAUACCGCAUAACGUCGCAAGACCAAAGAGGGGGACCUUCGGGCCUCUUGCCAUCAGAUGUGCCCAGAUGGGAUUAGCUAGUUGGUGAGGUAACGGCUCACCAAGGCGACGAUCCCUAGCUGGUCUGAGAGGAUGACCAGCCACACUGGAACUGAGACACGGUCCAGACUCCUACGGGAGGCAGCAGUGGGGAAUAUUGCACAAUGGGCGCAAGCCUGAUGCAGCCAUGCCGCGUGUAUGAAGAAGGCCUU
rnacentral:rRNA from 1 species